CUUAGCGUUUUGUCGCCAUGGGUUUGGUUUGGGUGGUUGUGCUUCUUCUUUUCCACCAGAGGGCGCUGUCAGGACGGUGGGCUGGAUUACGUCAGCGAGCACACCGGUUGCGAGUUGAGCUCAUCAGGAGCAGCGUCUUCAGGAGCAACCUGCCAGUCUUCGGCGCCUGAGUGUCUUCCCGUAUUGACCAUUCACCCGAUGCAGUGGAAGGAUUUCCCGUUGUGCUGAGUUUCUCGACUCACCUUCUCUGUGCAACAACAGGCUCCCCUCGGAUUCCUUGGCUGGCUGCUCCUCGCUCCUCGUGCCUCGCUCCUCGUCCUGCUCCGCGUUUCCACCGUGGACACCGAGCCCACCUGUCCGCCCGCCUACACACACACACCCUGCCGCUACCCUGCAGUGAAUCUCUUCCACGCUGCAGCUGUCUACCCCUCAAGUAAGACUGUUCCUGUUUACCCUCACACCGUGUUUCCGACUGUCCCUGAACUCACCACCUCAUCUGUUUACAUAGUUCCCGAUCGCUCCCCCUCCCGAGACGCUCCUGUGGACCGGACCCGAAUCCCUGUCAUUCCUCGUUCACUGUUGUGUAAAAUAAACCUUGUAAAUAUUUGCACUCCA